UACGGAGGGGGCUAGCGUUGUUCGGAAUUACUGGGCGUAAAGCGCACGUAGGCGGUCUUUUAAGUCAGAGGUGAAAGCCCGGGGCUCAACUCCGGAAUUGCCUUUGAAACUGGAAGACUCGAACACGGGAGAGGUGAGUGGAAUUCCGAGUGUAGAGGUGAAAUUCGUAGAUAUUCGGAGGAACACCAGUGGCGAAGGCGGCUCACUGGACCGUUGUUGACGCUGAGGUGCGAAAGCGUGGGGAGCAAACAGG
rnacentral:rRNA from 1 species